rnacentral:rRNA from 1 species
CAAAAGGGGUAAAUGUGGCUAACCGCCCUCGCGCCUGCCCCCGUUGAAAGGGACAGACGCCAAGGACGACCGCGCCGAUGGUGGUGUUUUGUAUUCAACGUCUCCUAAUCGCUGGUCGGCAUCGUUUAUGGUUAAGACUACGACGGUAUCUGAUCGUCUUCGAUCCCCUAACUUUCGUUCUUGAUUAAUGAAAACAUCCUUGGCAGAUGCUUUCGCAGAAGUUAAUCUUUCAUAAAUCCAAGAAUUUCACCUCUGACAAUUAAAUAUUAAUGCCCCCAACUAUCCCUAUUAAUCAUUACCCUAGUCCUCGCGCUGCCAAAACCAACUGAAAAUAGGAGGACAGGGUCCUAUUCCAUUAUCCCAUGCUAAUGUAUUCGGUGGCAGAAAAUUGGAUCUGCCUGCUUUGAACACUCUAAUUUUUUCACGGUAAACGAUCUGGGCCA